GCAUCUACCCCAGCACUUAGGUAAGUGCUUGAUAAACAAUAAGCGCUGAACAAAUACCACAUGAAAUUUGUUUAUUCCCUUGCUGAUUUAUUCAUCCACUCGAUCAAUUCUAUCUACUUAUACUCCUUCAAAUCCUCUUUCAUUUAUUAGACCGUAAGAUCUCCAAGAGGGAAGGAGGAGAUCUUUCCUUUCUUUGGUGGUAUUUAUUGAAAGUUUACUGUAUGCAGAGCCCUGUACUAAGUGCUUGGGAAAAUAGAGUACAAAAGUGGUGUUGGUAGAUACCAUGCCUGCCCAAAAGGAGAUUACAGUAAAGCACUCACUGAGUUAAGUGCUGUGCCCAGAGCAGCAGAUCAGUUUAAAACAGAACAGCAGAGUUGGUUGGAAUUUCAGAAGGUUAUUGAGUCCUUUUCAUUGCUUAGGUCCUAGCAGUUUCUGGAUUUGACUCCCUGUGGGUGUGAGGCAGAGAGUUUUUUUUAGCUAGGGGCAUACAAGCGAGAAUGAAGGAUUCCCCUCCAUGAUAUUCCUCUCGUCUGCCCUGCUCUUGGAAUAUCCCUCAGAAUUUCCACUCCACUUCACCAUCUCCAUUCUUGCUAUGUCUCUGUCCCCAUGUCUCUCUGCCCCACAAAAGAUGAAGUAACUGAUUUAGGCUGCUAACAGGCUAAGAGGCUUAAUCCAGUCCAGCCUCUGUGUUCUCUCUUCAGUGUUCAGUCCCCUUACUGAAAUGGGCCUUAUUUUGCAGGUAUUGCCUUUGAAAUUCUCAAUCAAUCCUGGCUCUGAGGAUAUCUUUACUGUAGGCUGAAAAAGAGAAAAUGAGCUUAAAACACAAUAAAAAAGAUUUCACCAUCAUCACCCCCAGUAGUUUUUCCUGUGUACAGAGUGGUGUACUAGGUGCUUGCAACCAUAAACCAAAGCAGAAGAUGCAGCAUCUGCCCUCGAGGAAUGAGACAGUGAACUUUUUGAUGAAAUAUAACCCUGAACCUCAGAAGAAAUAGUGAAUGCAUUUACUUCAGGCAAGCACUUGUGCUCGAGGAGAGAGCUGAGGCACAGAGGAGGGAAGAGAGUGAGAAAUGGACCAAAAUAUUUUUGAACCAAGCUGAAAGACUGAUCGACACUCCGUCUAUUCCUUUUACUCCUGUCCUUGAGCAUACACCUCAGCCACUGAUCCCCAAGGCUGG